rnacentral:tRNA from 1 species
GGUGGUGUGGCUCAAGUGGCAGAGUACUGGCCUAGCAAGUUUAAGGCCCCGAGUUCUAGUCUCAGUACCACCA